UUAAGUUCAGCGGGUAGUCCUACCUGAUUUGAGAUCAAACGUUCAAAAGCUGUCCUCCAUGGGAAGAGGACGUCUGUGAGCUCCAGCGAACCUCCAUCACUGAAGGUUACCUGGUGGAAGAGCGCAGGCGUAGAUAGUUAUCACACCCGUGAUGCCACCAAACACUGGCAAGCUGAUUCAUUUGAGAGGAGCCGACGGUU
rnacentral:misc_RNA from 1 species